UAUUGUAAGCUUUUUAGCUAUUAAGUUUUUAUUUUUGGUUUAUUUGCCUUUUGCAUCAUGCUUUAUAGAGGUUUAAGUUGAGGCUAUUUACCGAAAAGCUCAGAUCUUGUUUUUGAUCGUUUAUGAACUAAAAGUUAUUGGGUAAAUGUAAUUUGAGAUUAAAAGCAUGGGGUGAUAAAUUAACCGUUGAGUUUUAUAUCUGUUUGAUUGUUAUGUUUUCGUGUUACACACUAUGUUAUGAGAUUUAGUGUGUGUCUAUGCUAAAAAUUUUAAUAGUUUAUAAAGGGGUUAAAGUUACCCUAUUGUUGUAAGUUUGUUAUAAAUUUUUAAUAAUAUUACUGUAGCUAGAGUCUAUAUACAAUCUAUUAAAUAUUUAGUUUUUAAAUAUUAUUAAAUGAGUAAUUUUAUUAUAUUGGUUAAUUCUCGAAUUUUGCCCGUCUGUUUAUUAAAAACAUUUCUAACUUUUAUGAUAGUUAGUAUAACCUGCUCUAUGCUUAUGUAAAUGGCCGCAGUAUUUUGACUGUGCAAAGGUAGCAUAAUUAAUUGCCUUAUAAUUGAGGGCUUGUUUGAAUGGUUGGACGCGGUAAUAAUGAAUAUCCUGUAUUUUAGUGAAAUUAAUUUUGAGGGCACAGAAUCUUCAUAAGUUAAUUAGACGGAAAGACCCCGGGAUCUUUCGUUUUGCCUGGGGCAGGUGUUAAUAUUUUAUUAAUAUUUGGACCCUCUAAAGUUUAUUGGGUUAAGUUACCCCGGGGAUAACAGUGUAAUAGUUAAUAAGAGAUCUUAUCGAAUUAACUGCUUGCCACCUCGAUGUUGACUUAGAUAUUAAAGUAGGCGCAGUAGUCUAUUGUUUUGGUCUGUUCGACCUUUGUUAUCUCCAUGAGUUGAGUUAAGACCGGUGUAAGCCAGGUCGGUUCUUAUCUAUUUUAGAGAUUUAUUAGUACGAAAGGACCAUAAAUCUUUUUAUUAA
rnacentral:rRNA from 1 species